rnacentral:rRNA from 1 species
UCGGGGCUGGUUCACAGGUGGUGCAUGGUUGUCGUCAGCUCGUGUCGUGAGAUGUUGGGUUAAGUCCCGCAACGAGCGCAACCCUCGUUCCAUGUUGCCAGCACGUAAAGGUGGGGACUCAUGGGAGACUGCCGGGGUCAACUCGGAGGAAGGUGGGGAUGACGUCAAAUCAUCAUGCCCCUUAUGUCUUGGGCUUCACGCAUGCUACAAUGGCCGGUACAAUGGGUUGCGAUACUGUGAGGUGGAGCUAAUCCCUAAAAGCCGGUCUCAGUUCGGAUUGGGGUCUGCAACUCGACCCCAUGAAGUCGGAGUC